rnacentral:rRNA from 1 species
CUUGCAUCUCAUAAGAGGUCCAGCCUGCCCAGUGACCAUGUUCAACGGCCGCGGUAUUCUGACCGCGUGAAGGUAGCGUAAUCACUUGUUCUUUAAAUAAGGACUAGUAUGAAUGGCAUCACGAAGGCUACACUGUCUCCUUUUUUCAAUCAGUGAAACUAAUCUCCCCGUGAAGAAGCGGGCAUGAAAAUAUAAGACGAGAAGACCCUAUGGAGCUUAAAACCACUUACAAUUGCUUUACACCUCUCACUAUCUCAGCAUAAUAACCUUUAACCUAGCGAUAUGAUUACGCGUUUUCGGUUGGGGCGACCGCGGGGGAAAAAACAACCCCCACAUUGAACGGAACUAAACCCUGAACAAAAAGCAACAACUUUAUGCACCAAUAUAUUGACACCCCUUGACCCAAUACUUUGAUCAAUGAAC